GAUGAACGCUAGCGGCAGGCUUAAUACAUGCAAGUCGAGGGGUAGCAAGAUUGUAGCAAUACAAUUGUUGACGACCGGCAAACGGGUGCGGAACACGUACACAACCUUCCUACAAGUGGGGAAUAGCCCAGAGAAAUUUGGAUUAAUACCCCGUAACAUAGCGAUGUAGCAUCACAUUGCUAUUAUAGCUUCGGCGCUUGUUGAUGGGUGUGCGGCUGAUUAGAUAGUUGGCGGGGUAACGGCCCACCAAGUCUACGAUCAGUAGCUGAUGUGAGAGAAUGAUCAGCAACACGGGCACUGAGACACGGGCCCGACUCCUACUGGAGGCAGCAGUAAGGAAUAUUGGACAAUGGACGCAAGUCUGAUCCAGCCAUGCCGCGUGAAGGAUUAAGGUCCUCUGGAUUGUAAACUUCUUUUAUAAGGGACGAAAAAAGGUCUUUCUAGAUCGUCUGACGGUACCUUAUGAAUAAGCACCGGCUAACUCCGUGCCAGCCGCCGCGGUAAAAC
rnacentral:rRNA from 1 species